UUACGGACAGUGCCUGGUGGGUAGUUUGACUGGGGCGGUCUCCUCCCAAAGAGUAACGGAGGAGCACGAAGGUGGGCUAAACACGGUUGGACAUCGUGUGGUUAGUGCAAUGGCAUAAGCCCGCUUGACUGCGAGAAUGACAAUUCGAGCAGGUGCGAAAGCAGGUCAUAGUGAUCCGGUGGUUCUGAAUGGAAGGGCCAUCGCUCAACGGAUAAAAGGUACUCCGGGGAUAACAGGCUGAUACCGCCCAAGAGUUCAUAUCGACGGCGGUGUUUGGCACCUCGAUGUCGGCUCAUCACAUCCUGGGGCUGAAGUCGGUCCCAAGGGUAUGGCUGUUCGCCAUUUAAAGUGGUACGCGAGCUGGGUUUAGAACGUCGUGAGACAGUUCGGUCCCUAUCUGCCGUGGGCGUUGGAAAAUUGAAAGGGGCUGCUCCUAGUACGAGAGGACCGGAGUGGACGAACCUCUGGUGUUCGGGUUGUCAUGCCAAUGGCAUUGCCCGGUAGCUAAGUUCGGAAUCGAUAACCGCUGAAAGCAUCUAAGCGGGAAGCGAGCCUUGAGAUGAGUUUUCCCUGGCACUAUAAGUGUCCUAAAGGGUUGUCGUAGACUACGACGUUGAUAGGCAGGGUGUGUAAGUGCUGCGAGGCAUUGAGCUAACCUGUACUAAUUGCCCGUGAGGCUUAACCAU
rnacentral:rRNA from 2 species